UGGGGAAUCUUGCGCAAUGCGCGAAAGCGUGACGCAGCAACGCCGCGUGGGGGAAGAAGGCCUUCGGGUUGUAAACCCCUUUCAGUUGGGACGAAGCUUCCGCGGUGAAUAGCCGCGUGGAGUGACGGUACCUUCACAAGAAGCCCCGGCUAACUACGUGCCAGCAGCCGCGGUAAUACGUAGGGGGCUAGCGUUGUCCGGAAUCAUUGGGCGUAAAGCGCGUGUAGGCGGCCCGGUAAGUCCGCUGUGAAAGUCGGGGGCUCAACCCUCGAAAGCCGGUGGAUACUGUCGGGCUAGAGUACGGAAGAGGCGAGUGGAAUUCCUGGUGUAGCGGUGAAAUGCGCAGAUAUCAGGAGGAACACCAAUUGCGAAGGCAGCUCGCUGGGACGGUCACUGACGCUGAGACGCGAAAGCGUGGGGAGCAAACAGGAUUAGAUACCCGUGGUAGUCCACGCUGUAAACGA
rnacentral:rRNA from 1 species